rnacentral:tRNA from 1 species
AAAAUAAUUAUUACAAUUAGUUAAUGAGCUUGAAUUAAGCAUAU